rnacentral:rRNA from 1 species
AGUAUUAACAAAAUUUGUGCCAGCAGUUGCGGUUACACAGAUAAUACAAUUAAAACUUAUUAGUGUUAAUUAUUUAGAUUAAAAAAUUUAUCUUAUAAAAUUGUUAGGUGGAAUUUUAAUUUUAUAAAUAUAUUAAGAAUAUUUAAUGAUAUUAGGAAAUUUUUUUUUUAAACUAGGAUUAGAUACCCUAUUAUUAAAAAUGUAAAUUUAAAGCUAAAUUAGUAUUAGUUAAGUUCUUGAAAAUUAAAGAAUUUGGCGGUAUUUUAGUCUAUUCAGAGGAACCUGUUCUAUAAGUGAUAAUCCACGAUUUAAUUUACCUAAGUUUUUAAUUUAUAUAUCGUUGUAGUUUGAAUAUUUUAGAAGAAACUUAAUGUUCAAUAAUUUAAAUUUGAAAGGAAAUCAGAUCAAGGUGUAGUUUAUAUUUAGGUAGAAAUGGGUUACAAUAAAUUUAUUUACACAGUUAUUGUUUUUUUAAAAAUGAUUUAAGGUGGAUUUGAUAGUAAUUAAAUUUAAAUAUUUUUUUUGAUUUUAGCUCUAAAAUAUGUACAUAUUGCCCGUCGCUUUCAUUUUAAGAUGAAAUAAGUCGUAACAAAGUAGUUUUACUGGAAAGUGAAGCUA